CCUUUUUAAUAGGCUUAAAAAAUAAAACCAAGGACCAAUGAUUUAAGUGAGGGACUCCAGAGGCCACAGAUGACAGUCAAAACGAAGUGAAAUUGACAUUCGUUGUUGAUUUUCACGUCAUAAAAUUAUAAUUUAAAUAUUAAUUUAUAAUACUAUUUUAUACAAUUUAGUCAGUAUUGUAAAAGUGCCUAAAAACUACUUAAAGAUGGUGUCUUCUUGCAAACCUGUAAAUAUUCCUGGAUGAGAGGAAUGAUGACAGUCAAAAGAAGGAGAAGCCAGCUGUCAUUCUGUGAACAGCCCUCUGAAGAAGCCCGAGUAGCCAGGAACUGGUUUCCAGCCAAUAGCCAGCAAGGACCUGAGGCCGGCCAACAGCUAUGUGGCAAUGCAAAAAAUAAUGGUGCAUAUUACAAUCAAUGGCAUCUUUGAUUGGAUGUGGAAAUUCAAUUUUGUGUGCACAAUAGUCUCUCAAGAAUGGCAAAUUGUGCGGAGGAGAUUAAAGAUGGCUGACUAGAGGCAUCUGACAGUCACCUCCUCCAUAAAGAAGAAUCAAAAUAGCGAGUAAAUACUGGAUUUCAAAAGUGAAGUGACAAGAAACACCUAAAAGGAAAGAGAAAGAAGUGAGGCAGUCUGUUUGGCAGGAUCAGCUGGGAGCCCAGAGAAGCUCCCCAACGUGAGAAAAGGCUUGACUAUAAUGUGCUGUGGAGAAUGUCUUUUUGCAUUAUAAAUAUUUGAGAAUCUCUGAGCUUCUUGUAUCCAGAUGUGUAAACAUCCUGCUAGACUCGGGAAGUUUUCCACUAUUAAUAAAACUGGAAUAAAAGUGGACUAAAACUAGCAAUCAAUAAGAGUAACUUUGGAAAUGAUACAAAUACAUGGAAGUUAAACAACGUGCUCCUGAAUAACCACUGGGUCAAUGAAGAAAUUAAGAGAGAAAAUUUUAAAAAUGUAUUGAAACAAAAGAAAAUUGAAACACAGCAUACCCAAAACUAUGGGAUAUAGCAAAAGCAGUGCUAAGAUGGACAUUUGUAGCAGUAAUACCUACAUCAGAAAAAUGGAAGAUUUCAAAUAAACAGUCUAAUGAUGCACCUCAAGGAACUUGAAAAGCAAGAACAAACCACAUCCAAGAUUAGUGGAAGGAAAGAAACGAUAAAGAUCAGAGCAGAACUAAAUAAAAUAGAGACUUAAAAAAACAAUACAGGCCGGUCACUGUGGCUCACGCCUGUAAUCCCAGCACU
ensembl:lncRNA novel transcript